rnacentral:tRNA from 1 species
GGGGUUGUAGUGUAGUGGCUAUCACGCGUCAUUUGCAAUGGCACCCGUGCGUGUUCAAUGAAACUUGACGAGGUCCCGGGUUCAAUCCCCGGCGACUCCA